rnacentral:lncRNA from 1 species
UUUAACAUGGACAGAGGGAGGUGAUGUCUGCAAUAGCUCUGUGCCCUAAAGCUGCUCAGAAGGGGAUGCAGAGAAACCAGCGUGCUCUCUUGUUUUCACAUGGGACUACAUUCCCAUAGGGCAGCUUAGUUACUUAGACUGAGGGAGGACAGCAAAGGGACCGCGGCUACUGGAAACCCCAUCAUGUCACUGAGCACGGGGUUCCACUUUGCUCCUCAUGGAUGGAGACAGAUGGCGCUUCCUACACCUGCCGUAGGAGCUUCCUGGGCAGA